rnacentral:rRNA from 6 species
CAAGGCGACGAUCCCUAGCUGGUCUGAGAGGAUGACCAGCCACACUGGAACUGAGACACGGUCCAGACUCCUACGGGAGGCAGCAGUGGGGAAUAUUGCACAAUGGGCGCAAGCCUGAUGCAGCCAUGCCGCGUGUAUGAAGAAGGCCUUCGGGUUGUAAAGUACUUUCAGCGGGGAGGAAGGUGUUGUGGUUAAUAACCGCAGCAAUUGACGUUACCCGCAGAAGAAGCACCGGCUAACUCCGUGCCAGCAGCCGCGGUAAUACGGAGGGUGCAAGCGUUAAUCGGAAUUACUGGGCGUAAAGCGCACGCAGGCGGUCUGUCAAGUCGGAUGUGAAAUCCCCGGGCUCAACCUGGGAACUGCAUUCGAAACUGGCAGGCUUGAGUC